rnacentral:rRNA from 1 species
AGAGUUUGAUCCUGGCUCAGAUUGAACGCUGGCGGCAGGCCUAACACAUGCAAGUCGAACGGUAACAGGACUAGCUUGCUAGUUGCUGACGAGUGGCGGACGGGUGAGUAAUACUUAGGGAUCUGCCUUUGGGAGGGGGAUAACCAUUGGAAACGAUGGCUAAUACCGCAUAACGUCUACGGACCAAAGGGGGCUUCGGCUCUCACCUGAAGAGGAACCUAAGCGAGAUUAGCUAGUUGGUGGGGUAAAGGCUCACCAAGGCGACGAUCUCUAGCUGUUCUGAGAGGAAGAUCAGCCACACUGGGACUGAGACACGGCCCAGACUCCUACGGGAGGCAGCAGUGGGGAAUAUUGCACAAUGGGGGGAACCCUGAUGCAGCCAUGCCGCGUGUGUGAAGAAGGCCUUCGGGUUGUAAAGCACUUUCAGUUGUGAGGAAAGGUUAGUAGUUAAUACCUGCUAGCUGUGACGUUAACAACAGAAGAAGCACCGGCUAACUCCGUGCCAGCAGCCGCGGUAAUACGGAGGGUGCGAGCGUUAAUCGGAAUUACUGGGCGUAAAGCGCACGCAGGCGGAUUGUUAAGCUAGAGGUGAAAGCCCCGCGCUCAACGUGGGAAUUGCCUUUAGAACUGGCAGUCUAGAGUUUUUGGAGAGGGGAGUGGAAUUCCAGGUGUAGCGGUGAAAUGCGUAGAGAUCUGGAGGAACAUCAUUGGCGAAGGCGACUCUCUGGCCAAAAACUGACGCUCAUGUGCGAAAGUGCGGGUAGCGAACAGGAUUAGAUACCCUGGUAGUCCACACCGUAAACGCUGUCUACUAGCUGUUUGUGAAUUUAUUUCGUGAGUAGCGAAGCUACGCGCUAAGUAGACCGCCUGGGGGAUUACGGCCGCAAGUUUAAACUUCAAAUGACUUGACGGGGCCCGCACAAGCAGUUGAGCAUGUGGCUUUAUUUCGAUGCACGUGAAGAACUUAGUACCUUUGACUUGCAAGAACUUUCGAGAAUGGAUUGUGGCGUUCGGGAACUUCUGAACAAGCGCCUGAAUGGGAUUCCGUUA